CAACAUUCAUAAUAAUUAAAAAGAUGAAAAAAAAGAGAAAUGAAAAUACGUAAAAAAAAAGAAGAGAGAGAUCAGUAAUUGAGUAUUUAUGCAUAUAUGGUAGUAUGAUGAUAGGGGUGGUGGUGUCUCCGCCGGCCGUUGGAAGUUGUCAGUGUCUUCAGAUCGGCCACGUCCCUCUCCUCUCCCCCAUUCUUCUCUCUUUUUUGUCUUUUCUUCUUUCUUUCUUUCAUUUUAUAAACCACCGAAAUUGUUUUUUAAGUUUUUUUUUUAUGGUGAUUACCCAUUUCGACUAACAAAUACUUUUUACUUGUGAUUGUAUUACUUAUAGUGAAAUAUAUAAAGAUGAAGAUCAUUUGACAAUUUAAUUUCAUUUAACUUGAGUGGAUUAUAUAAAGAUUUCUUAGCUGUUAGUUAAUAGUGCAUGGGAAGAUAAAGUUCGAUAUGUUAAAAAUUGCUUUUAAAAAAUG
rnacentral:lncRNA from 1 species